rnacentral:rRNA from 1 species
CCUACGGGUGGCAGCAGUGAGGAAUAUUGGUCAAUGGACGCAAGUCUGAACCAGCAAUGCCGCGUGCAGGAAGACGGCUCUAUGAGUUGUAAACUGCUUUUGUACGAGGGUAAACGCAGAUACGUGUAUCUUGCUGAAAGUAUCGUACGAAUAAGGAUCGGCUAACUCCGUGCCAGCAGCCGCGGUAAUACGGAGGAUACAAGCGUUAUCCGGAUUUAUUGGGUGUAAAGGGUGCGUAGGCGGGUGUAUAAGUUAGAGGUGAAAUCCCGGGGCUCAACUUCGGAAUUGCCUCUGAUACUGUUGCGCUAGAGUGUAGUUGCGGUAGGCGGAAUGUAUGGUGUAGCGGUGAAAUGCUUAGAGAUCAUGCAGAACACCGAUUGCGAAGGCAGCUUACCAAGCUACUUCUGACGUUGAGGCACGAAAGCGUGGGGAGCAAACAGGAUUAGAUACCCCUGUAGUC